rfam:Oryza sativa (indica cultivar-group) chromosome 3, whole genome shotgun sequence.
AAAAAGACAAAUACUGGAUUUCCGUGUUCAACGUUUGACCGUCCGUCUUAUUGGAAAAAUUAUGAAAAAAUUAAAAAGACAAGUCACAAAUAAAGCAUUAAUCAUGUUUUAUCAUCUAUAAUUAUAAAAAGGUUUCAUAUAAGACAGACAGUCAAAUGUUGGACAUGUAAAUCUAUGGUUUAUUUUGUG